rnacentral:rRNA from 1 species
CCUACGAGCUGCAGCAGUGGGGAAUAUUGGACAAUGGGCGAAAGCCUGAUCCAGCCAUGCCGCGUGUGUGAAGAAGGCCUUCGGGUUGUAAAGCACUUUCAGUGGGGAAGAAAGCCUUGGGGCUAAUACCCUCGAGGAAGGACAUCACCCACAGAAGAAGCACCGGCUAACUCCGUGCCAGCAGCCGCGGUAAUACGGAGGGUGCGAGCGUUAAUCGGAAUUACUGGGCGUAAAGCGCGCGUAGGCGGUCUGAUAAGCCGGUUGUGAAAGCCCCGGGCUCAACCUGGGAACGGCAUCCGGAACUGUCAGGCUAGAGUGCAGGAGAGGAAGGUAGAAUUCCCGGUGUAGCGGUGAAAUGCGUAGAGAUCGGGAGGAAUACCAGUGGCGAAGGCGGCCUUCUGGACUGACACUGACGCUGAGGUGCGAAAGCGUGGGUAGCAAACAGGAUUAGAGACCCGAGUAGUC